ACAUUCUCAACUGUUUUAGAAGAGAAGCAUUUAUUAGAUAAAAAACCAAUAUAUGUUUUUUAAACAUAAAAUUUAGUGAUUUACAAUAACUAAGCAAAUCGCACAGUGUAAGCUGGCGAUAAAUCAUUCAAGUUUCUGACCUAUCAGCUUUCGACGGUAAGGUAUUGGCUUACCGUGGCAGUGACGGUUAACGGGGAAUUAGGGUUCAAUUCCGGAGAGGGAGCCUGAGAAACGGCUACCACAUCUAAGGAAGGCAGCAGGCGCGCAAAUUACCCAAUUCUAAUAGCAUAAGAGAGGUAGUGACAAGAAAUAACAGUACAAGGCAGUUAAAAUGCUUUGUAAUUGGAAUGAUAGAAAUUUAAAUACUUUUUAAAGUAUCAAUUGGAGGGCAAGUCUGGUGCCAGCAGCCGCGGUAAUUCCAGCUCCAAUAGCGUAUAUUAAAAUUGUUGCAGUUAAAAAGCUCGUAGUUGAAUUUUUGCUAAAAAUAACCGGUCUGCUUUUAAUAAUAAAAGUGGUAUCUUGGUGUGUUUCUAGCAAUAAUGUC
rnacentral:rRNA from 1 species